rnacentral:rRNA from 1 species
GCUGCAUGGCUGUCGUCAGCUCGUGUUGUGAAAUGUUGGGUUAAGUCCCGUAACGAGCGCAACCCUUGUCCUUAUUUUGCCCAGGCACGGUAAUGGUGGGAACUCUAAGGAGACUGCCGGUGACAAACCGGAGGAAGGUGGGGACGACGUCAAGUCAUCAUGGCCCUUACGAGUAGGGCUACACACGUGCUACAAUGGCCGGUACAAAGGGCUGCGAGCUCGCGAGAGUCAGCGAAUCCCUUAAAGCCGGUCUCAGUCCGGAUCGGAGUCUGCAACUCGACUCCGUGAAGUCGGAAUCGCUAGUAAUCGUGAAUCAGAAUGUCACGGUGAAUACGUUCCCGGGCCUU